UAUUGUGUCUAUUUGAUUCGUCUGUCUUUUCUUCUUUAUUGGUCUGGCUAGCAGUCUGUCUAUUUUGUUGAUCUUUUCAGAAAACCAUCUCCUGGAUUCACUGAUUUUUUUUGAAGGCUUUUCGGUCUCUAGCUCCUUCAUUUUUGCUCUGAUCUUGGUUAUUAUUUGUCUUCUGCUAGUUUUUGAAUUUGUUUGCUCUUGCUUCUCUAGUUCUUCUAAUUGUGGUGGUAGGGUGUCAAUUUUAGAUCUCUCCUGCUUUCUCUUGUGGGCAUUUAGUGCUAUACAUUUCCCUCUACACCCUGCUUUAAAUGUGUCCCAGAGAUUCUGGUACAUUGUGUCUUUGUUCUCAUUGGUUUCAAAGAACAUCUUUAUUUCUGCGUUCAUUUCAUUAUUUACCCACUAGUCAUUCAGGAGCAGGUUGUUCAGUUUCCAUGUAGUUGUGUGGUUUUGAGUGAGUUUCUUAGUCCUGAGUUCUAAUUUGAUUGCACUGUGAUCAGACAGACUGUCUGUUAUGAUUUCUGUUCUUUUGCAUUUGCUGAGGAGUGUUUUACUUCCAAUGAUGUGGUCAAUUUUAGAAUAAGGGCAAUGUGGUGCUGAGAAGAAUGUAUAUCCUGUUGAUUUGGGGUGGAGAGUUCUAUAGAUGUCUAUUAGGUCCACUUGGUCCAGAGUUGAGUUCAAGUCCUGGAUAUCCUUGUUAAUUUUCUGUCUUGUUGAUCUGUCUAGUGUUGACAGUGAAGUGUUAAAGUCUCCCGUUAUUAUUGUGUGGGAGUCUAAGUCUCUUUAUAGGUCUCUAAGAACUUGCUUUACAAUCUGGGUGCUCCUUUAUUGGGUGCAUAUAUAUUUAGGAUAGUUAGCUCUUCUUGUUGCAUUGAUCCCUUUACCAUUAUGUAAUGGCCUUCUUUGUCUCUUUUGAUCUUUGUUGGUUUAAAGUCUAUUUUAUCAGAGGCUAGGAUCGCAACCCCUGCUUUUUUUUGCUUUCUGAAUUUGCUUUUGAAUAUUCCUCCAUCCCUUUAUUUUGAGCCUGUGAGUGUCUUUACACGUGAGAUGGGUCUCCUGAAUACAGCACACCAAUGGGUCUUGACUCUUUAUCCAGUUUGCCAGUGUUUGUCUUUUAAUUGGUGCAUUUAGCCCAUUUACAUUUAAGGUUAAUAUUGUUAAGUUUGAAUUUGAUCCUGUCAUUAUGAUGCUAGCUGGUUAUUUUGCCCAUUAGUUGAUGCAGUUUCUUCAUAGCAUUGAUGAUCUUUACAAUUUGGUAUGUUUUUGCAGUGGCUGGUACUGGUUGUUCCUUUCCAUGUGAAGUGCUUCCUUCAGGAGCUCUUGAAAGGCAGGUGUGGUUGUGGCAAAAUAUCUCAGCAUUUGCUUGUAUGUAAAGGAUUUUAUUUCUCCUUCGCUUAUGAAGCUCAGUUUGGCUGGAUAUGAAAUUCUGGGUUGAAAAUUCUUUUCUUUAAGAAUGUUGAAUAUUGGCCCCCACUCUCUUCUGGCUUGUAGGGUUUCUGCCAAGAGAUUCCUUGUUAAUCUGAUGGGCUUCCCUUUGUGGGUAAAGUGACCUUUCUCUCUGGCUGCCCUUAACAUUUUUUCCUUCAUUUCAACCUUGGUGAGUCUGAUGAUUAUGUGUCUUGGGGUUGCUCUUCUCAAGGAAUAUGUUUGUGGCAUUCUCUGUAUUUCCUGAAUUUGAAUGUUGGCCUGACUUGCUAGAUUGGGGAAGUUCUUCUGGAUAAUAUCCUGAAGAGUGUUUUCCAACUUGGUUCCAUUCUCCCUGUCACUUUCAGGUACACCAAUUAAAUGUAGAUUUGGCACUGUUCAUGACUUCAGGUAAAGAUGGCUCAUAUUUGACAGCUUACAGAAUAACAUGAGAGUGUUAUAAACACACAUUCCCCCCUCCCCACCUUUAUCCUUCCUGAAUUGCUUUACAAGCCGUUUAAGAACAAUUUAAUAUUCCUGUGUGCAGCAGUUCAGUUUUCUUGUUUUGCUUUCUCUCAUUUUUCUCUUUAAGGCUCAAUUGUCUGUUUAUUUUCAUUUGUAUUUAUUAUUGUUGUUAAGUGACAAAUGGUCAUUGAAACAUAAUACCUUACAGUAAGUAACCUCUUUUUUGUUCAGUACAAUUCUAUAGUUUUUGUGAGAUAAGGAACUGAUUCUGCUUACUAUUUCUGUCACAUUGGUAGAAAAUGUAUAGCCCCUAUUUGCAACAACACGUGAAUCAUAUUGAGAGGAGGCCAGUCUGAAUUAUAUUUUUUAUGGAAAAAUACUUUGAAAUAACUUAGGCACGAAUUUUAAGUACAUUUCUUCUGCAGUUGUUUUAGUGAAUGUAAUGUAUUUAAAUUUUAAAUAAAGGACAUUUAUUAACCUGC
rnacentral:lncRNA from 1 species